UACGGACGAUUCGCAAGUCCGGAAGCAGGAAAGUGUGAUGGACGCACGGAAAGGCGAUAUUUAUCACUUUUUCAUCAAAUCAUGCUGGACAAAUCCCUCAGCAAUUGCUGUACUAGACCCCGACACAGUUUAGUGUCCAUUUUUCAUGUAAAGGUAAUAUAGAUGUCUAAGAUCAAAGGUAACGUUAAGUGGUUUAAUGAAUCUAAAGGAUUCGGUUUCAUUACUCCUGAAGAUGGCAGCAAAGAUGUAUUCGUACAUUUCUCUGCAAUCCAGAGCAACGGCUUCAAAACUCUGGCUGAAGGUCAGCGCGUAGAGUUUGAAAUCACCGACGGCGCUAAAGGCCCAUCUGCUGCUAACGUUAUCAGUCUGUAAGUUAACAGUCAGAAUUCUAAAAACCCGCCUGAUGGCGGGUUUUUUUAU
rfam:Pantoea vagans C9-1, complete genome.